rnacentral:tRNA from 1 species
GAGGGUGUAGCUCAGUGGUAGAGUGUAUGCUUAGCAUGCGUGAGGUCCUGGGCUCAAUCCCCAGUACCUCCA